rnacentral:rRNA from 1 species
UACGUAGGUGACCAGCGUUGUCCGGAUUUACUGGGCGUAAAGAGCGCGCAGGCGGUCGUUCAAGUCGAGUGUGAAAGCCCCCGGCUCAACUGGGGAGGGUCACUCGAUACUGAUCGACUUGAAGGCAGGAGAGGGAAGCGGAAUUCCCGGUGUAGUGGUGAAAUGCGUAGAUAUCGGGAGGAACACCAGUGGCGAAGGCGGGUCUCUGGGCAUCUCCUGACGCUGAGGCGCGAAAGCGUGGGGAGCAAACGGG